UAAAUAAAUAAUAAAACUCAUAUGUAUAAUAUAUUAAAAAUAUAUUUGCGUUUUAUUUUGUAGCUCAAAUAUAUAUGUAUAUAUAUAUCUCUGAAAAACUAGCUCGUGCAGGGGUCCGGGAUUACUGUUGACUCCCCUCAAUGGGGAAGACACAGACUCUAGGCUGAACGAAAAAUCGGCGGCAGGAAAACAAUAGCGAUGUCGGGACGGCGCCAAGUCACGAGCACCGCUUACAAGCAGUGCGGCGCGCUACACGCCCGAUCGAAAUGGGGCGAAUCCGAACGCGCGCGCAUACGCAUUUUGGGAGACAAAAGGUCUCUUACGCAUUUUGGGAGACGAACGAGCGAGUCAUCGGGUGAAGAUGAUUCUCUCGAUCAAACAGCAAACAUACACUUACAUUAAAUUUUAUCUAUAAAUAUCAGGUUGGUAACAUGGUAGCUUAUCUGGUGUAGAGCGUCGCAUCGCAUCGCAUGCUGCUGCCGACGUUUGUAGCGGCCGAUUCUAAACUUCCGGUUAUUUCCAACGGAAACGGCCAAUAUGUAGCUUGAGAAUGGAAAUACACUGUGAUUAGGAUGUUUCUUUUGACAAAACAGCAGUAUAUACAAUAUAUUAUAGCAAUAAAAAAUAC
rnacentral:lncRNA from 1 species